CGGGGGAGGCCGGAUCCUGGGCUGUGACCCGGCGCCCAGUGCUCCCGGGCUUGCGCUGUUGGAUUCGUGCUCCCGCCCCGCAGCCCCCU
rnacentral:pre_miRNA from 1 species